AUGGUGAUCCUCAUCGUCUGGGAAAUCUGGCAGGAGAGAAACGCAUGCACUUUCAGGCACAAGACUGCUUCCAUGCCUUCGGUCCUAGCCAAGAUCAGAAGCACUUUGGAACUCUGGCAGCUUGCUAGAGCCAAAAACCUAGAACACCCCUUUGGGGCCACGAUAGCGAGAGAUUAG
rnacentral:rRNA from 1 species